GCGAUAAAUGAAGCGUUAUCCUCACGCCUUCGUGUUGCAUCAUCCCAUGCGUCCGACCGCCUGGCCUUUACCAAUUUCCCACAUUCCCUGCGGUGCGGACACAUCACGGAGAGGCGACGGAGACGAUUACAAGGAUAGACACAGAGAGAUGAGGAGAUGAAGUGUUGUCGCCGCUCCUCCUCUUCCUUCUCCAAACCCUGCACCGCCACCACCUUCUUCGUCUCCUACUCCUCCUUCCUCCUCGCCCUCUCCUCCCUCCUCCGCCCCUCCACCGCCCUCGUCAACCUCCGUGCCAAGUCCUUCUCCUUUACCUUCCUCGACGCCCCAGCCCGCUUCGCUGUUCCUGUUCGUGGCUCUGGGGUCUGUGGAGCUCUGCACACUGCCGAUCCUAUCGAUGCUUGCUCUACCCUCCCGAGCAAUCGGACCGCUGUAGGCCGAGGCGGAGGUUCGGCGCAUUCCGAUUUUAUUCUUAUCGUGAGAGGUGUUUGCAGCUUCGAGAAUAAGGUCAGGAUCGCUCAGGAUGCUGGAUACCAGGCUGCAAUCAUCUACGACGACCAGGAGAAGGGCAGCUUGUACUCGAUGAUCGGGGACUCCACGGGCAUUUAUAUACAUGCAGUAUUUGUUUCAAAGAUGGCAGGUGAGACACUAAAGAAAUUUGCUCGAGGUGAAGAAGGAGAAUGUUGUAUAGGUUCUUCUAUGGAUGAGACUGCUGGAACAGUGUUGGUGAUUUCUUUUGUCUCACUUGUUGUCAUAGUAUCAGUUCUUGCAGCAUUUCUCUUUGCUCGAAAUUGUCGGCUUCUAAGGCAUGGAGCCCAUAAGCGGCCUCCUAGUAUGAACAGACAGGCAGUGGAACUACUUCCUUCUUUCACAUUCAAAAGUUCCUAUGUCAAUAGCAAGCGCAUGGCAGAAACUUGUGCCAUUUGUCUUGAGGAUUACAGAGAUGGAGAGAGACUGAGGGUUCUUCCCUGUCUUCAUGGGGCUUGUGUGCACUUGAAAACCAGAUGCUUCUUUGGACAAGAAUCUUGGCAUUUAUAACCGCAACAUGACAACUUUAGAAUGUUUGAUUCUUGGGCUGUCACCAGAGCUUAUACUUUUAGAUUCUACUGUCACUUGAAGUCAAAUGUGAUGUUCCCUGCAUGGUGAAUUGUAAAAUAGCGUGUGUUCUUCAAACCUUGGAACGGUUAAUAUCUUUUAAUUCCUGAGUAUUAACUAGUUAAAACCUGUGUUCCUGAUGAUAAGGACCUGGCAAAAUUACUUUCUGCAUUUGAAUUUGGUUACAUGAAGCCAGACGCAGAUUUCCAUGCAGUUUGUGUGGACUCAUGGCUGACGAAAUGGGGAACGUUCUGCCCAAUUUGCAAGCAUGAAAUGAGCUCGGGAGAAUAGGCUACUUGAUUUUAAGCAAAUCAACUUGCAUUGGGCUGAGUGAUGGAAUAAGUUUGGCAACUAUUUACGAGUUAUCCAUCUUCUACUCGUGUUGCAUCUGUAAGUGGAAUAAGAUUGGCAGCUUACGCUUCCGCUUCGAAUGUCUUCAUGGAAUUUCGUGCCUUCUGUAAGAUCCGAGGGGUGUGCAUAUGAAUCUAGAGCAUGCACUUCUCUAUGGACAAUGCAAUGCAGGCAAAAGCUGGGAGCAAUCAACUGUCCUUUCCAACCAUCUGUUUCAUGCUUCUUGUCAUGUUUGCCUCGUCAUGCUCUCAUUUGUUAAUCCUUCUACCCAUUUGUGCAUCUUCUGUAUUCUCGUGUACCCUUCUGAGAGUACUCGGUGUUUAGCUGUGUUCUGACGCGGAUGUGUCUCACUCGCGUGUUUGGUUUUUGAUGAGCAUGAGGGGGUGUUGAGCUGAUACGGAGCUGCUCGGGAACUGGCACUGAAUUGAUCUCUGCUUUUAGCAUGUAACCUAUUUUUAUGAUGUCAGCAUACAGUGACUGUAUAAAAUGACUGUUUGUUGUAAUCUUCUU